UUAAAAUCAAUGAACAAGAGUAGUAGAUAUAAAAAAGGUCUAUAGAGAGCUGAGAAGGGUGGAAACUUGGCGAUGCUUUUAUAUCGAAUGGACUUGGGAGAGAAAAUCUGAAAUUUAAGUAGGAUUUUACGGCUUGUCACCGUUAAAGAUUUAAGUGAGCUUUUAGCUAACAAGAGUGGUACCACGGGAACUAACCUUUCGUCUCUAUU
rnacentral:ncRNA from 1 species